UACGUAGGGUGCAAGCGUUAAUCGGAAUUACUGGGCGUAAAGCGUACGCAGGCGGCUUUGCAAGACAGGUGUGAAAUCCCCGGGCCUAACCUGGGAACUGCUUGGUAUACUGGUUAUCUUGAGCCACUUAGGGGCGACCGGAACAAAUGGUGGAGCGGUGAAAUGCGUAGAUAUCAUUUGGAACGCCAAUGGUGAAAACAGGUCGCUGGGAGUGUGCUGACGCUGAGACACGAAAGCCAGGGGAGCGAACGGG
rnacentral:rRNA from 1 species